rnacentral:lncRNA from 1 species
AUUCCAAAGGUCGUAGGUUCGAAUCCCACCGUGGCCGGGCAUAUUUUCAAGCUCGCCCGGUGUGGAUAUGCACUCAGAGUAACACCACAAAUAUCAUAUUCACCUGAGUACACUACACCAACACAGAAAAAAAAUUCAUAUUACUAGAAUACAUUGGUAUUGAAGGAACUAGAUUCUGUUCCGAAAUAUCACUUACUCGAACCGUCCUGACCGCGUAGCUCAGUUG